AUUUCUCAUAUUUCUCCGCCCUCUCAUCCCCACCUCGCUCGCCCUCGCUCCCUAGCCUUCGCUCUCUCUCCUUCGCCGCCACGUCCACUCUUUCCUCCGAUCUAAAGAAACGUAGCAGCAACCGCAUCUCGCCAUUGUUUCCUCUCUUACUCGCCGGAACCCUAGGCCGGUCCUGCUUCGUCUUCUCCGGUCUAGGGUUUUAGCCCUAUUCAAGUGCCCGUUUCCGAAACCCUAGAACCAGGAUAAUUUGAUAGUGUUGACUUCAGCUGUAUUGGAGUUAUUUUCACAAUGGGUUUUGAUAACGAGUGUAUACUGAACAUCCAGUCUCUUCCUGGUGAAUAUUUCUGCCCUGUUUGUCGCACACUUAUCUACCCAAACGAGGCUUUACAAUCGCAGUGCACCCAUCUGUACUGCAAACCAUGUUUAGCCUAUGUUGUGGCCACUACACAUGCUUGUCCUUAUGAUGGAUACCUGGUGACUGAAGCAGAUUCUAAGCCACUGAUUGAAUCAAAUAAAGCACUUGCGGAGACCAUUGGCAAGGUGGCAGUUUACUGUCUCUAUCACAGGAGUGGAUGCCAAUGGCAGGGAACUUUGUCUGAAUGCAUUGCACAUUGCACUGGUUGUACCUUUGGAAAUUCACCUGUUGUAUGCAACAGGUGUGGUACCCAGAUUAUACAUCGGCAAGUACAAGAGCAUACACAAAUAUGCCCUGGUUUACAACCACAAGCACAGCAGGCAGAUAGUGGUCAGGGUCAAGCUUCGACAACAUCAAACCAAGCUGUUUCCCAGGAUCCUGCCGUGGCCUCCUCAGCAGUUCCUGCAACAACCACUUCAACAGCUACUGCAAGCACAACUUCUACAACUACUGCAGCUACAGCUACUCCUGCAGCAACUGCUACUGCUACUGCUCCUGCAACCGUGCCUAUUGCUUCUGCUACUACCACUACACCUGCUGGUGCAUCUCAAGGCCAAGCUAAUGCAACUGCUUAUGCACAAGCUGUAGCCCAGGCUUCGACUCCACAACAAUGGUACCAGCAACAGCAAUUGCAAUACCAGCAGUACUAUCAGAUGUAUCCUGGCUAUGAUGCUUACCAGCAGCAUUAUCAACAGUAUGCUCAAUAUCAACAGCAAGGCUACCCACAGUAUCCCCAGCCCCAAAUGCAAGUUGUUCCUCAGAAUGCAACACAAGGACAGUCACAGCCUGCAUCAUAUGUGCAGCCUCAACCUCAUCUCCAAACCCAACCUUAUCCCCAACCUCAGACUCAAGCCCCGGCCCAGCCUCUACCCCAGCCCCAGCCACAAGCCCAGGCAACUCAAGUGCAACUGCAGCAGCAGCAGCCUCCUGUGAUGCAAGCCCAACAACAACCACUAUCCCAGCCCCAACCCCAACCCCAACCUCAACCCCAACUUGUGCAGUUGCAGGCACAACAACCUCAUACACCUGGUCAGCAGCCUUAUGCUCAAGCACACACACAAACUAAUCAACUACCCCAAGCACAAAUAGCAGGUCAGCAAUUUGGGCAGCCACCCCAGUCACACUAUCCCCAGCCUCAGCCUCAGCCUCAGCCUCAGCCUCAGUCUCAGCCCCAGGUGCAAUCACAACAGCAGAUGCAGGCACCACCGUAUCAACAGACACUUCAGCCACAGCAGCAUUUACAAUCUGUCCCUCAUCAGCAAUCUCAUCCACAUGUUCAACCACAGGCCCGUCCUACUGCCAUUCAACAGCCACCUAUGCAACUGCAGCCUCAUUCCCAGUAUCCUAGUGCUCAUCCCCAAAGCCAGUCCCAGCCAAUGGCACAACCUCAGCAUCCCUUGGCUCAUGCAGUGACAGGACAUCAGUCCUACCAACAACCUCAGAUGCUUCAGCAAACCCAGCCUGGUACCCUGCCACAACGCCCCAUGCUCAUGCAGCCACCACAGCAGGGUGUGCCACAACAACAUCCUGUUCAAUUGCCAAACCAGUUUGCACCUCAACAGCCUCCUAGGAUGCCUCCACCUUCUGGGUAUAUGCCAAUGCAAGGCCAACAGCAGUCGAUGCUACAUACGCAAAGACCUCCUGCAAGUCAUCCUCAGCAGCAGCCUCCUGUUCCCCUUCCUCAGCAUGCCCAACAUUUGCACCAGCAUCCUGGCGUGCAUGCACAGGCAACUCAGCAGGGUUUGCCUCCUCAGCAAUCACAUGGCCAUUUGCAUCCUGGCCAGCAGUUUCCGCAGGGGAUGCUCUCAUCACAGCAGCAAUUGCCUCCUCAGGUUCCACCACAUAUGCAACAGCAUGUUUCAGUGCAGAUGCAUCCUCAGCAAAAUGUGCCACCGGCUCAUGGUUUGGCAACACAUCAAGCACAGGCUGUAGCCAUCAGGCCUACGAUUGCAAAUAAUGGCAUGCCACAUCAAUCAAUUGAACAGUUUCCUGGUGGACCUGGUAAGCCCGCACAACCUCCUCUGAAUCAACAAUUGCCAAGUCAGAGUCACUUGGCAUGGCCUGGCACAAAUUUGGCAGCGACAUAUGAGUCGCAAAGGUCUCAUCUUCCCCAAACAGGUAGCCAGGGCAGUUCGAAAGCUGUAUCUACUGCUCCACAUUCAGGGAUAGUAGAUAAAGUGGGCCAUGCCCCUGAUCCAUCAUCAGAUUUAGCUGCAAAGAAUGCUGAAGGGAGUGGGCAAAUUGAAAGAUCAGAAACAGCUGUCACGAAGAUUCCGGAAGUAGGGUUGGAAGCAGAUAAAGAAAAAGCUGGUGGAGAGUUUAAGGAAAAGGACAUUCAAGCUGAGGUGGAAUCAACACUGAUCCAUGGUAGAAAACUUGAUUCUUAUGCUGAAGAGGAAAAUGUGGAGCUUACCGAACCCAAGCUUACAAUGAAGGAGGAAUUGGCUGAAUUGUCAGAAGAUGGUUCUGAGAGAUCGAAUGUUCCUAAAGAUGGACAUGCUGAGGAAAAUCAGAGUGCAGAAGGUAAACCCAAUGAAAAGGCUGGUGGCAUGGUGGAAGUCCAAGGGGCGAAACUAUCGUCUGAUGAUAAUGCACAGUUGCAUGCCAUUUCUACUGCUGUUCCCAGGGAGUCAUUUGGCUUAAGUGAAGGACAGACUGCUGGGGAUGUUACUAGUAAAACUCAUCCUCCUCAGCAAUUGACAUCUCCUAGUAGUGAUAAAGGUCAGCAGCAACAGCUAGCUCAUCAACGUGCUCCUCCAUCCAUUGAAGAAGCAUCCUUCCUGCCUGCUUAUCAUGACAAGAACACAUCCCAGUUAGCUUGGCAAGGCCCAGGAUCUGGUAUGCCUCAAGGUAUUCCAACAUCAGGUUCUUUAACGGGUAAGGAGGGUUAUCCAACACAACACCUUCCCUACAGUCAUCCUCUGAAUGUUCCAGUCACAACCCCUAGGUAUCAGGUUCCUGAUAGAAUAUUACCACAUCAUAUGCCACUUCCUGGGCCCAUUCCAGAUAGAAGACCCCAGGAUGCUCCUCCAUAUCAAAUGCAGGUACCUGGGCAAAACAUGGCAUCAGGCCAAAUGAGACCCCCAGGUCAUAGUUUUCCUGAACCUAAUCCUCGUCAAGGGCAUACUUCAAUUGUACAAGACCCACUUAGGCCUCCAAGUGGGCAACCAUAUGGUGGCAGUUAUCAUUCUGAUGUGCCACAGGGUACCUUUCCUGGUCUAGGUUUGCCCACCACAGGUAGAGUUCCUGGACAUGUUGGGUUUUCACAACAUGGGUUUCCAGAACAGGGUAUCUCUCCUCAAGGGCAAGGUCGAAGUCAUUUACCUCUGCCACAUGCUGGUACGAGAGUCUCACAUGGUGAAGCUUUAACACAAUUACCUCUGCAUGCACCACACUCUGGAGCCUUUAAUACAUCAAAUCCCAUGAUGUCAAGAGGACCUUUUCAUCCAGAAGAUCGUGGAGGUCCUUCUCAUCUUGGACCGGCCAAUGCUUUGGAAGCUGAAUCAUAUGAUGUCAGGAGGCCUGGAUUUUCUGAUCUUAGGCAGCCCGAUCCACUUGUCCAGUCAAAUGUGAUUAAGGCUAAUGGGAUUCCAGUAAAAGUUCAAGUUGAUGGUAUGCGUGAUUCUUCUUUUUCUCAUGGAUUGCCUGAAGACAGAUUUAGGCCUUUGCCAGAUGAAAGAUUCAGAUCAUUGCCUGAUAAUGGGAUGCCAAGGCCUUUUCCACUUGAUCCUGGCAGACACAAUGUAGGUCGUAGGGAGUUCGAAGAAGAUUUGAAACAAUUUCCUAGGCCAAGCCAAUUGGAUGGUGAAGGCAUGCGAAAGUUUGAUAAUUACAUUGCUUCGUCGAGGCCCAUCGACAGGGGAUGGCAGCAGGUUGGUUCUGAUGCUUUACCAAGACCUUAUGAUAGGUCUUUGCCAGGGCCUGAUGGAAUUCCCCGAGCCCUUCCUGCAACUCAACUUGGUCCUUUCCAAGCUGGUAAUGCUGGUCCUUUUUCAGCUAGUGGAGCGGGUUCAGAACACCGCAUGAUAGAUAUUGUAGAAACACGCAGGCCUGCUGGUUUCCGUGAGGAAUUUGGUGCUAUUUCUGAUUUGCACAAGCCUAUUCUUGAAUUCGGCCGUCGUAUGGAUGUUGUACCUUCUGCACGAAGUCCAGUUAGAGAAUUCAGUGGUCUUUCAUCUAGUAAGUUUGGAUCAGGCUCUGGGUCAAGAGGUAUUCCUGAUGGUCCUAGAAGUUUCCGGAUGGAGCAACUUGAUUCAGGUAGAUUUCCGGGCAGUAUAAGAAAGGACUUGGAUGGGAAUAUUCACAUGCACCCUGGAGAACAAUUUGGUCGGGGUCGUAUUUCUAUAGGUGAUCCCAUACUUGGUGGCAGUUAUGGGCGUGACUUUGCAAAUGAAGCUGGACUGUUUAGUACGUUUAACCCUCGUAGUGAAAUGGAGGUCUUUGAGCUGUUAAAGAAGAGGAAGCCUGGGACUAUGGGAUGGUGCCGCAUAUGCAGCAUUGACUGUGAAACAGUGGAGGGCUUGGAUCUGCAUGCACAGACCAGGGAGCACCAAAAGAUGGCCAUGGAUAUGGUGUUUGCAAUUAAGAAAGAAAACAACAAGAAGCAAAGAGUCUCUGAGGGUAUUUUACCCCUUGAAGAUUCAAAAAAAUCAAGGAAAGAUUUUGGAAAGCCUUUGAAAUAGACAGAAAACUCAUGGUUUCUGCUAUAGCGUUGGAUAUGGAUAUUGAGUUGCAAGUUGAAUCAGCAAGUGGGGAUUGAUUUGACAACCAGUAGUCGUAGGCCCUUAUCCAAUGUUUGGAGGGUGCUAAUAGGUUCAGGCAUUCAGUUGUUGAUAGAACCAUGGACUUUCAAUAGCAUCCAUUACUCCCUGGUUCUUUGAGCUGCACAAGUUACAGCAGACCUGGCUUUUGAUCAUAGCCAACAGAACUUUAUAACUCUGUUUCACUGAGGAUUAAUCUUUUGUUGACUUGUUGUUACAAUAAGAAUUUCCACCCACUUAGAAAUUUAAGUUAAUGAGAUUUUGAACUCACUCUCAUCGGUGUUCUUUGGAGCACUAUAAGUAUCAGAUUCUCUUUGGCUCCUCAUCCAAAAUCAAUGGGUUCUCAUCACAUUGGCAGGAAUUGCCUUGUCUUUGAUCAUAUCACUGAUCUUACCAUUUUGGUAGCUUGGAUCCUCUUAUGUAGUAACAAAUCUAAUCUAACUUUUGAUUUUAGGAUUUUUUUUUGUAUAAUGCCUUAUUUUAUGUGCAGAGUAUCUUAAUCUGAAAGCAUCUUCUCAUUAUAUCAUAUUAUAGGUUGUGGUCCAGAAUCAUUCCAAAUUGCAUAUUUUUUGUUUAUGUUAUUUGGUUCUAGAUUCUACAUUGGUACAAUUUCUACAUGGCUGAUUCAUGAUGUUCUUUUUGGAUCCUUAUAUUUUAUAGCAGUUCAGAUAGCCUAUGCUUGCAUUUGUUGGUCGACGUAUAGAUCCUCAACCACAAUCGAUGAUUCUUGAGGACAACAAGCUUAGAACAGGGGAUCCGAUACUGCAUUCGAGAGAGAUGUGUUCUUGUUUGUUUGAUAGUUUUACACAGGAUAUCAGCUACCUGAUCUCUUCCAUCCUGGCUUAAGAUUGCAAUAGAAAGGCUGUAGCAUUUGGCAUUAACUACUGUGACACUACACGGUCUGUUUCUUUUGCCUGGGCAUAUGGGAAUAGUCUUGAGUGAAAUCCUGUACAGUUGCUCAAGCCAGUCACAAUUUUGUGAUGGUUAUGGUGUACUUGUACUUAUCUAGGAUAUACUUUUAGAAAUGGUAAGUAUGAAUAUCUGAAUACUAUCGAAAGAACAAGAUGGAAUUAUCUGCA